rnacentral:lncRNA from 1 species
UCCAGGUGCCACCCUAGAUCAACCGAGUCAGAACCUUCAUUUUAAGAAGAACUCCAGGAAUCAACAAUUUUGGUGGAAGAUAUAAACAACAAAACUAACACAGCAGAACAAAACUUUGGCAACAUGGAAGAAUCCUAUACACAGGCAAUGUCAGCAACAUGGUGGAGUGAGCUGUUCCCUUCAUCUCUUCCCCCUUUUGAACUACAACUAAAUGGACAUUCACUGACCAAUGGAGGAAGCCCACAGAACACAAGAGGAUGCCUGAGAGACACAUGCAGUCCAGGUCUUACUGAUUCCUGAGAAAAUCCUGGAAGGUAUUACCCGGGUGACUGAUUUCCACCUUCAGCAAUGGAAAAGUAAGAAGAAUAACAAUGGUACGAUUCCAAAUACUUUCCUCUGUCAGUGAUCUCAAUUAGUCCUUUUCUCCAUUACUUCCCAAUUGCAAAGCUAUAAUUUUAACUCUCUUUAAAAGAGUUGUUAUAAGACUGUCAGAUUGAAGGAAAAAUUAAAAAUAAAGAAGAUAUUGCUUCUAAGAGCUGAAGGUUGUCCCUUCUCAGCAAAGAUGGAGCACUUGUACCUCAAGCCAACAAAUCACAGAGGAUUAAUCUGGAGCCAUGCACAAAUUAUUUCUUAAAAUUACGCUUUAAUUAAUUUGCUGUAGAGAGAAAUAAAAUGUUACCAUGU